GUGUUCACUUCUGCAGUACAUAUACUAAAAAAUUGGAAAGAUACAGAGAAGGUUAACAUGGCUCCUGCUCAAGAACGACAGACAAAUUUGUAAAGAAUUCUGUAUUUUU